GCAAGUCGAACGGGAUAGUCAUUUUAUUUUAUAGAAUGACUUGAGAGUGGCGAACGGGUGAGUAACACGUAGGUAAUCUGCCUAUCAAACCGGGAUAGUCAGUGGAAAAAUUGGGUAAUACCGGAUACGUACAAUACGAGGGAUUAUAUUGUAGAAAGGGAACUUUUGUGACGUUGAUAGAGGAGCCCGCGCUUGAUUAGCUUGUUGGUAGGGUAAAAGCCUACCAAGACGACGAUCAAUAGCCGGCCUGAGAGGGGGAUC
rnacentral:rRNA from 1 species